CUUAGGUCGGGGAUAAACCCGGGAAACUGGGUAUAAUACCCGAUAGAUCUCGGCUGCUGGAAUGCAUCGAGCUCUAAAGCUCCGGCGCCUAAGGAUGGGUCUGCGGCCUAUCAGGUAGUAGUGGGUGUAGCGUACCUACUAGCCUACGACGGGUACGGGUUGUGAGAGCAAGAGCCCGGAGAUGGAUUCUGAGACACGAAUCCAGGCCCUACGGGGUGCAGCAGGCGCGAAAACUUUACAAUGCUGGAAACAGCGAUAAGGGGACCUCGAGUGCCAGGUUACAAAUCUGGCUGUCGUGAUGCCUAAAAAGCAUUGCAUAGCAAGGGCCGGGCAAGACCGGUGCCAGCCGCCGCGGUAACACCGGCGGCUCGAGUGGUAACCGUUAUUAUUGGGUCUAAAGGGUCUGUAGCCGGCCGGAUAAGUCUCUUGGGAAAUCCAGCAGCUCAACUGUUGGGCUUUCAGGAGAUACUGUCUGGCUCGAGGCCGGGAGAGGUGAGAGGUACUUCAGGGGUAGGGGUGAAAUCUUGUAAUCCUUGAAGGACCACCAGUGGCGAAGGCGUCUCACCAGAACGGACCUGACGGCAAGGGACGAAAGCUAGGGGCACGAACCGGAUUAGAUACCCGGGUAGUCCUAGCCGUAAACGAUACUCGCUAGGUGUCGGCCACGGUGCGACCGUUGUCGGUGCCGUAGGGAAGCCGUGAAGCGAGCCACCUGGGAAGUACGGCCGCAAGGCUGAAACUUAAAGGAAUUGGCGGGGGAGCACCACAACGGGUGGAGCUUGCGGUUUAAUUGGAUUCAACGCCGGAAAUCUUACCGGGACCGACAGCAAUAUGAAGGCCAGGCUGAAGACUUUGCCGGAUUAGCUGAGAGGUGGUGCAUGG
rnacentral:rRNA from 1 species